rnacentral:rRNA from 1 species
GUGGGGAAUAUUGGACAAUGGGCGCAAGCCUGAUCCAGCAAUGCCGCGUGUGUGAAGAAGGCCUUCGGGUUGUAAAGCACUUUUAUCAGGAACGAAAAGCGACGGACUAAUACUCUGUCGUGCUGACGGUACCUGAGGAAUAAGCACCGGCUAACUUCGUGCCAGCAGCCGCGGUAAUACGAAGGGUGCAAGCGUUAAUCGGAAUUACUGGGCGUAAAGCGUGCGUAGAUGGUGCGUUAAGUCGGAUGUGAAAGCCCCGGGCUCAACCUGGGAACUGCAUCCGAUACUGGCGGACUAGAGUGUGAUAGAGGAUGGCGGAAUUCCCGGUGUAGCGGUGAAAUGCGUAGAGAUCGGGAGGAACAUCCGUGGCGAAGGCGGCCAUCUGGAUCAACACUGACGUUGAGGCACGAAAGCGUGGGGAGCAAACAGGAUUAGAAACCCCAGUAGUCC